rnacentral:rRNA from 1 species
UACGUAGGGUGCGAGCGUUGUCCGGAUUUAUUGGGCGUAAAGAGCUCGUAGGUGGUUUGGUAAGUCGGAUGUGAAAUCUCCAGGCUCAACCUGGAGGGGUCAUUCGAUACUGCCAUGACUAGAGGUCGGUAGGGGAGUGUGGAAUUCCUGGUGGAGCGGUGAAAUGCGCAGAUAUCAGGAGGAACACCCGUAGCGAAGGCGGCACUCUGGGCCGAUACUGACACUGAGGAGCGAAAGCGUGGGGAGCGAACAGG